rnacentral:lncRNA from 1 species
CCCUUACUGUCAUUUGCUCAACCAAAACCCUAGCCUCCAUUCCCCUUCUACUCGCAGCCAUUCAGUUCAGCCACAGACGCAACAAACCCCUCCAGCCGCACCACUCCGGCCUCCGCCACAAACCCGCCACCGUCUCCAUGUCUCUGUCAUCUCCUCCGCCACAAACCCCCACCCUCCGUCGGCAUCUUCGUCAGCGACGACAUCUUUUCCGUGCACAAAUGAGGAGGAAAUUGUUGCUGUGAUUGCUCAUGAACUCGGUCACUGGAAACGGAAUCACACAAUAUACUCCUCUGUUGGUGUUUAGGUGUACACCAUACACUUCAAUUUAUAAUAGUAUGAAUCAACAUGUGUGAUUUAAGUCUGUAUUUGGGAUGUGUACAUCUACUUGAUGUAUCCUGAGUUGUUGACCCGAAAUACUGUGGGUACGUGAACUAUGAUCUUGACAAAGAACAAACUGAUACAUCACAACUGAAGUUAAAUGGACACGUGGAAUUGGUAUUACGGCAGAGAUGCUUGGUUAGCUCACCAAUGGCCUUGAAUUCGCUUGGAACAAACUCAAGGGCGAAGUUGGUAUACCUGAUGCUCCGGUCAAUGUUGGUGACAAGACAAACAAAGAUAAAAGAAGUUACGAAGAUUAUCAAGUUAUAUUUGAAGGAAAAAAUCUUAGUUCCAGUUGGUCCUAGCUUAGGGGCUCGGUAUCGAUUUCGAGAUAAAUCGUGACUUUAAGUUAAAAUUAUUGUUAUCACUUUGACACCAUUGGUGGUGACUGAACAGAGGGUUUGUGAUUUAUAUAUUUUUUAGCUUAAAAUAUCCAAAUUUUAAUAAAAUUGCUUGGAAAGAUGUGGUUAUAGAACCACAUCUCUUGGACUAGCAUCUUUUGGUUUGAUUUGAAUGUGUAUUGCUUUGGUUUGAUUUGAA